UUUGGCCUGUGAUGAAGGAAAGAAUUGCCUACAUUGUCUGAUGUUAUUUAACAUGACAGAGAGAUAUUCAAUUGUCUGAGGCCUUG